UACGUAGGGGGCAAGCGUUGUCCGGAUUCAUUGGGCGUAAAGAGCUCGUAGGCGGUCUGUCGCGUCGGUCGUGAAAACUUGGGGCUUAACCCUGGAGCUUGCGGUCGAUACGGGCAUGACUGGAGUUCGGCAGGGGAGACUGGAAUUCCUGGUGUAGCGGUGGAAUGCGCAGAUAUCAGGAGGAACACCGGUGGCGAAGGCGGGUCUCUGGGCCGACAUUGACGCUGAGGAGCGAAAGCGUGGGGAGCGAACAGG
rnacentral:rRNA from 1 species